rnacentral:rRNA from 1 species
CUCAGGAUGAACGCUAGCGGCAGGCUUAACACAUGCAAGUCGAGGGGUAACAGGGUAGCAAUACUGCUGACGACCGGCGCACGGGUGAGUAACGCGUAUGCAAUCUACCUUUAACAGAGGGAUAGCUCCGAGAAAUCGGAAUUAAUACCUCAUAAUAUUCAGAGGAGGCAUCUCUUUUGUCUUAAAGUUCCGACGGUUAAAGAUGAGCAUGCGUGACAUUAGCUAGUUGGUAAGGUAACGGCUUACCAAGGCUACGAUGUCUAGGGGGUCUGAGAGGAUGAUCCCCCACACUGGUACUGAGACACGGACCAGACUCCUACGGGAGGCAGCAGUGAGGAAUAUUGGUCAAUGGGCGCAAGCCUGAACCAGCCAUGCCGCGUGAAGGAUUAAGGCGCUAUGCGUUGUAAACUUCUUUUAUACUGGAAAAAACCCUCGAACGAGUUCGGGGCUGAUUGUACAGUAAGAAUAAGCAUCGGCUUACUCCGUGCCAGCAGCCGCGGUAAGACGAACCGAGCGAACGUUGUUCGGAAUCACUGGGCUUAAAGGGCGCGUAGGCGGGCGGCUAAGUCUGUGUUGAAAUCCUCCAGCUCAACUGGAGAACUGGCAUGGAUACUGGUCGUCUCGAGGAAGGUAGGGGUACGUGGAACUAUCGGUGGAGCGGUGAAAUGCGUUGAUAUCGAUA